rnacentral:rRNA from 1 species
AGCGAACGCUGGCGGCAGGCCUAACACAUGCAGGUCGAACGAAGCCUUCGGGCUUAGUGGCGGACGGGUGAGUAACACGUGGGAACGUACCUUUUGGUUCGGAACAACUCAGGGAAACUUGAGCUAAUACCGGAUGAGCCCUUAGGGGGAAAGAUUUAUCGCCGAAAGAGCGGCCCGCGUUAGAUUAGCUAGUUGGUGAGGUAAAGGCUCACCAAGGCUACGACCUAUAGCUGGUCUGAGAGGAUGAUCAGCCACACUGGGACUGAGACACGGCCCAGACUCCUACGGGAGGCAGCAGUGGGAAUCUUGCGCAAUGGGCGAAAGCCUGACGCAGCCAUGCCGCGUGAAUGAUGAAGGUCUUAGGAUUGUAAAAUUCUUUUACCAGGGACGAUAAUGACGGUACCUGGAGAAAAAGCCCCGGCUAACUUCGUGCCAGCCGCCGCCGUAAGAC